rnacentral:rRNA from 1 species
AACGAACGCUGGCGGCAGGCUUAACACAUGCAAGUCGAACGCCCCGCAAGGGGAGUGGCAGACGGGUGAGUAACGCGUGGGAAUCUACCUAGUUCUACGGAACAACAGUUGGAAACGACUGCUAAUACCGAAUGUGCCCUUUGGGGGAAAGAUUUAUCGGAUAAGGAUCGGCCCGCGUUGGAUUAGCUAGUUGGUGGGGUAAAGGCCUACCAAGGCGACGAUCCAUAGCUGGUCUGAGAGGAUGAUCAGCCACAUUGGGACUGAGACACGGCCCAAACUCCUACGGGAGGCAGCAGUGAGGAAUAUUGGACAAUGGGCGCAAGCCUGAUCCAGCCAUGCCGCGUGAGUGAUGAAGGCCCUAGGGUUGUAAAGCUCUUUCAGUAGGGAAGAUAAUGACGGUACCUACAGAAGAAGCCCCGGCUAACUUCGUGCCAGCCGCCGCCGUAAAAC